rnacentral:tRNA from 1 species
GCCCGGUUAGCUUAACCGGUAGCGCGUUAGACUUUUAAUCCAACGAUCAAGGGUUCAAGUCCCUUAACGUGCU